rnacentral:rRNA from 1 species
CCUACGGGAGGCAGCAGUGAGGAAUAUUGGUCAAUGGACGAGAGUCUGAACCAGCCAAGUAGCGUGAAGGAUGACUGCCCUAUGGGUUGUAAACUUCUUUUAUAUGGGAAUAAAACGUUCCACGUGUGGGAUUUUGUAUGUACCAUAUGAAUAAGGAUCGGCUAACUCCGUGCCAGCAGCCGCGGUAAUACGGAGGAUCCGAGCGUUAUCCGGAUUUAUUGGGUUUAAAGGGAGCGUAGGUGGAUUGUUAAGUCAGUUGUGAAAGUUUGCGGCUCAACCGUAAAAUUGCAGUUGAAACUGGUAGUCUUGAGUACAGUAGAGGUGAGCGGAAUUCGUGGUGUAGCGGUGAAAUGCUUAGAUAUCACGAAGAACUCCGGUUGCGAAGGCAGCUCACUGGACUGCAACUGACACUGAGGCGCGAAAGUGUGGGUAUCAAACAGGAUUAGAUACCCCGGUAGUC